CUUCAUUUCUUCGUCCACCACUUCAGCCUGACCUGUGGCAGCGACCCGUUGUUCAGAGGCCACAGUCAAGAGCAAACUCUGAGAGAGUGGAUUUGUCAGAUUUGGUUGCCGUGGAUACACACCGCUACACUCACAUCCAGAUUCUUUCUCCUCCUCCUCCUCCUGUUUGCCAUUGAUGCAGAUCAAGACCAUCUUCAUCAGGAAGAUAAGUUGCAAAUGGGUGAUUGCCUUUUUGAAGUGCUACGGUUCCCCUGCAGAUGUUGUCGGAGGAGGUGGUUUUCUUUUUCUUCACUUCUUCCCACUAAUGGCUGAGGUUAGGAGCGGUGUUAUGAUGACUGUGUGAAAUGAGGCAGAUAAUUCUCAUGAAAAAUGGACUGUGCGUACUCGUAAGCUUCACUAUACCUGUGAUCAGCGGCAGCUUCACAUCAGGCUUACGUCCCCCACCCCCUCCUGAUUUCUCUCUUCCCUGUACUACAGCAUUUGAAUAUUAGAAUAUCAGCAUGUGUGCAUGAUUGUGACACACAUGACAAAAGCUUAUUAAAAUGAAUCUGAGCUUUG